AACCCGACAUAAUUAUUAUGAAAGUGUUCCCUCGGCCAACCCUACAUAUGAGUAUUAAUAUUAGUAUUAAUAUUAGUAUAUCAUCUCAGCAAUCUUUCCCAAGCAGGCGGAAUAUGGAAUCGGAUUUAAUCUGGUCUCGAUGUUAGGUUUGAAAGCGGGAGAAAGAAAAGCGAAGCAAUCGAAUCCUUUCAUUUCGGUUUGGAAGUCCAAGAGAAGGAAUCGUGUCCACUCCAGUCCUCUCACUCGGGCCACUUCACCUAGAGGCAGCCAACACAGUGACAUCUCAGAUGGUCACUUCACCUAAUGACAGCCAACACGGAGACAUCUCAGAUGGUCACAUCACCUAAUGACAGCCAACACGGGGACAUCUCAGAUGGUCACAUCACCUAAUGACAGCCAACACGGGGACAUCUCAGAUGGUCACGUCACCUAAUGACAGCCAACACAGUGACAUCUCAGAUGGUCACGUCACCUAAUGACAGCCAACACGGGGACAUCUCAGAUGGUCACAUCACCUAAUGACAGCCAACACGGGGACAUCUCAGAUGGUCACGUCAACUAAUGACAGCCAACACAGGGACAUCUCAGAUGGUCACAUCACCUAGUGACAGCCAACAAGGGGACAUCUCAGAUGGUGACAUCACCUAAUGACAGCCAACACGGGGACAUCUUAGAUGGUCACGUCACCUAAUGAUAGCCAACCCAGUGACAUCUCAGAGGGCCACUU